UGCAAGUCGAGCGAAUGGAUUAAGAGCUUGCUCUUAUGAAGUUAGCGGCGGACGGGUGAGUAACACGUGGGUAACCUGCCCAUAAGACUGGGAUAACUCCGGGAAACCGGGGCUAAUACCGGAUAACAUUUUGAACUGCAUGGUUCGAAAUUGAAAGGCGGCUUCGGCUGUCACUUAUGGAUGGACCCGCGUCGCAUUAGCUAGUUGGUGAGGUAACGGCUCACCAAGGCAACGAUGCGUAGCCGACCUGAGAGGGUGAUCGGCCACACUGGGACUGAGACACGGCCCAGACUCCUACGGGAGGCAGCAGUAGGGAAUCUUCCGCAAUGGACGAAAGUCUGACGGAGCAACGCCGCGUGAGUGAUGAAGGCUUUCGGGUCGUAAAACUCUGUUGUUAGGGAAGAACAAGUGCUAGUUGAAUAAGCUGGCACCUUGACGGUACCUAACCAGAAAGCCACGGCUAACUACGUGCCAGCAGCCGCGGUAAUACGUAGGUGGCAAGCGUUAUCCGGAAUUAUUGGGCGUAAAGCGCGCGCAGGUGGUUUCUUAAGUCUGAUGUGAAAGCCCACGGCUCAACCGUGGAGGGUCAUUGGAAACUGGGAGACUUGAGUGCAGAAGAGGAAAGUGGAAUUCCAUGUGUAGCGGUGAAAUGCGUAGAGAUAUGGAGGAACACCAGUGGCGAAGGCGACUUUCUGGUCUGUAACUGACACUGAGGCGCGAAAGC
rnacentral:rRNA from 1 species